UCCUCAAAAGCAAAGAAAUUUUAUUUGUGCUUGUAUUGUGGACCUCAGCCAAGUGCUGCUCCGAGGGCUCUGGGAGUAGAUGAAGCUGUGGAAGGAAUUGAUUUUACUGACAAGAGAAAGGACAAAAAAAGAA
rnacentral:ribozyme from 1 species